GGUGCUGUCCUUGUCCCCCACCCCCUGUGGGCUUUAAAGAUAAGCUCAAUUUAAUGCCUACUUAGCACCUAGACAGAAGUUAAGAGAGAAGGCAAUGCUGACCAAGAAAACAGCUGUUUUUAUUUUCACAAUCUUUAUCACUUUAUGGGCUUGCAAAUGUAGUUAAAUAUACCAAUUUCUGGCUACGGAGGAGUGCUGGAAAGCCAUCGCAACAGCUGCAAGGAUCGGAUUUAAACCUUCAAGCUCCGCAUGAAAUACUGUUCUUAGUCAUUGUCAUUUCAACUUUCCUCAUUUUCUAAGAAAGUAACAUCCUUUGCUGAUUGCAAAGAUAAGAAUAACAAAUGCAAGACACAGCUCACCAAAGAAGCCGGAAGACUACAAUUUUCAGUCAAUGGAAACCCACUCAAAGAAGAAAUAAAUGGGGUUAUAGUCAGACUAAACCAACAAGUUGAAUUCAUAGUGGAAAGUAUAUCUGCUAGCUUGGAACUCACUAUGUAGACCACAGAAAUCCAUCUAUCUCUGCCUCCAGACUACUGGGAUUAAAGCCUCUGCUCUAUGUACCAGCCUGGAGGGACAGCACUCACUGGCUCGCUGUGAGGUCUACCGGAGAGACCCUGACACUGACCUUCAUGACAUUGAGCUGUGCACACUAAAUGCCACCAGGGAUCUCCUAAGGCACGUUUUUAUUGUUAGGUGCCACCUGCUCCCUGGAAGUGACACAGACUACAUUUGUACAGUUCAACGUUCUCCCUCAACAAAGGCAAGCAAAUAAGGAACAAUCAGGAUCUGAUGGACACAGGGAGGGCUGGAAGAGAAGGAAAGCAGGCUUGAAGAUGCUCUUCAAUGAGACUGACGAGCCUGAGUUCAUAACCCAUCCUGAUGUGCUAAAUGGAUUCUAAUGGAGCAAGUCAUAGGCUGUUAGAAGCACUGUUCAUCUACCUCUUUCUGCAUGACUGUCUCCUCCAAGUGACCUUAGCAGUCAUUCUCAACCUUUAUACAGUUCCUCUUGUUGUGGUGACCCCUUAAGCACAAAAUUUUUUUGAUUA